ensembl:lncRNA
CCGACACUUCCCGCGGGCCCCGCUCCGGCCGCGGCUGUCGGGGAUCCCCGGAUCGAGAGCGGGAGAUUCAUCCCCCCGCCGCCAUCCCCCCGGAAGGAGCGUAACGCCCUCCUGCGCAGUCCGGCGGGGAUCGAAGGGCGAGCCGCAGCGGAGUGGCGCAGCGUCCGUCUGUGAAUAGCGGCCUCCCGCCGCCCCGCGCCAUCUUGACUACCAGCCGGGGGGCAGCCUUCCCCCUCCCUCUUCAAGAUGGCGCCGGCCGGGUGAGUGACAUGUCCAGUCACGUGGGCAGCGGAUGAGCCCCUCUCUCCCCCCGCCUUAAAUGAUCUCUAUGGUUCAGCCGGACACACAGGCGGCGGUGGCGGCAGCGGCGAGGGACGGAGCCGCGGCGGGAGCGGGGCCGCGGCGCCCGCCCGGCGCCUCCUUUGUCCUGCGGCCUCGGCAAGGUGAACUUCUGAGAGAUUUUUCCUGUAUAUUUUGACUUACUGUGAAAAGCAAACCCAUGAAUCUGCUACUGUCAAUUGCUGAAACCUCAGCACAUUUGGUUUUAGGAGCAACACAGGAUUGGUGAAAAGCAACAAAAUCCACCUUGGCUGCUGCGAGACAACAACGGACAUUGUAGAGUACCAACUAUAGCCCAGCACAACAAGGAAGAGACACGAAAACCUCAAGCUUCGCUACCGAGCUCCAUUUAUGAGGUCGACCAUGACCAUCCUGGAGAACUGCAACCGGAUUUGGCUUCGUGUCUCCCCUUCCCCAUCCCGGUACGUGCUGCGAUGCUGAACUGUUCUGUGAAACAGCUGCCUCAGCCCACAGCCACCGAGGCGCUCCAGCUGCAAAGGGCUGCAGGAGGAAAAAUUAAACUAAUCCACGUUUGAGAGAUCUGGACGGGCAGACUCAGUCUCAAUUUUUGAGGAGAGUAAGAUGACGGUAGGUGUAUGGGUUGCUUUUACACCCCUGAGCUUUGAAUUGAAUAUUUUACUGAGCAGAGAAAGGGUCUCUCUUUAGGAACAAUUUGUGCUCCUUGAUGAGGUGACUGUCCAGUCAUUUGUCUUCAACGGUUACUCUCAUGGGAAAACAAUGAAUUUUAUUCUAAUUUUACUCAUGGAUAUCUUGUGGAAUUUCCAUAUUCUGAAGUCUUAUCUUCCUAAAGCAAAAGUAGCAAAAUUCCAGAGUGUUUGCUUAGCUCCCCCCAAAAAGUUAUAGCAGUAAUUACAGAAAUAAGCAAUGACUAUCCCAUGAGAAGCUAAAAGUGCUGUAUCUAUCUGUGCUUGUGUGAUCACCUUUGGGUCUUCCAGCUAGCUCCUCACUUCUGAGGAGGAGUAGUUUCCCUGGAGAAUACCUGAGCCAAAGUAGCACCUUCUAAAAAUCAACUUAAAGCCAUUAAAGUUUCCCCUUUCAAAUAGGCAGACUCACAUAUUACAUGCCUGUGAGUUUUCAUUUUGAGGUCAUGAGCAAUGUUAGGUUAAUGAAGAAAUCAUUUCCCUUUCUAUGGGGCUUCCCUUUGGCCCCCGGUGAUUCCUGCAUUGCUGGUGGUGCUGCCUCUAUCAAUCAGCACCCAUAAGAAGUGAGUGGUGGUGUAGGUCUAUGGCCAAGGACUCAGUGGCACAUCUGAAACAGCAGUUAACUACUUUAAAAUGUUUUAAAUCAGAGAGGAGCAUGGCAACGAGAAGGAAGAAAAAAUACCACCCAUACAUAGCAUAAAUGAACCAGAAAGAUGCUCUGUUGGGAUAAAGCUGGUUGGGAAAGGCCUUGAUUUACCAGAGAUAAGGAAAAAAACCUGACCAACAGAAUGGAAAAUGCAGGGAUGCAUUUACCAGGUGAAGCUCAGGGAUGAUUCUGGACCAGCUGGUUGUAGUGCUGUCUUUACAGAAGAAUGGGAUUGCCUUCUAUUGCUUAAGGGAAUAAAUGCUCAGGAGUAAAGAUCA